rnacentral:lncRNA from 1 species
GCCUGGCUUUGCCGUUUCCUUUGGCAGCUCCCAAGACCUGAGGAUAGGAGUCCUGGGCAGCUGGGACCUGCCAGGCCAUCCUGCAUCUCCCAUGGGGCUCACGACCCAGGGACCCCUGUUCCUCUCUGAGAGGACCACCUCUUCCUGAAGCUGGAACCCGAUACUUGUCGGUGCCAACAACUGAAACCAGAUGUGCGCAGAUGCAUGUGUUCACGUGGGGUGUGUGUGUCCGUUUGGAGACCAGAAGUCAACCUCAGUAUUGUUCACUCAGCAAAUAUUGAACAAUAUUCUUUGGCACCGAGGACUCAGUCUAGCAAGGAAAUGAGCUGUCAAACAAACAUGACGCGCCACAAGCCCAGGGCAUGUGGGAAU